rnacentral:lncRNA from 1 species
AUGGGGGAGGGGGACGCGAGGGGGGAAGGGGGAGAGGGAAAGACAGAGGUAGACAGACGAUCAGACGUCCAGCGGCGGCCGGGGGGGGGGGCGGCUAACCUGCUGCAAUCCCGGAGAGCUGCUCGUAGGCGGCGGCAAUGGCCGGGACGGGACUGGACGCGACUGAACCGGACGGGACCGGACGGCCUCCCAGCGCGUCUGCCCGUCUGCCCGCCCGGCCCGCCGCUCAGCUGCGCGCUCCGGCCCCCGCGACUCCUCCUCCUCCUCCUGCCUCCGUCAGUGGAAAACUCCGGCUCUGACGCAGGCCAGCGGGCGGGCCGGCAGCCGUGCGCACAGCCGCCCGACCCUGCCCAGCCUAGCCCAGCCCAGCCGCGGCGCCUGGGGCCGGAGGGCCGGCCAGGGCCGGCCGGAGGCGGGGCCAGGCCGGGGGCCGGCGGGGAAGGGCCCGGGAAGGGCCCGCCCCGGCCGGCUCCCCCCGGCCCCGUCCCGUCCAUCUCCUCCCGGCCCCGCCCCGUCCAUCUCCUCCCGGCUCCGCCCCGCUCAGCUCCUCCGGGCCCCAUCUAGUCGGUCUCCGGCUUGCCCCUCCAGUCCAUCUCCUCCCGGCCCCGCCCCGGCCAGCUCCUCCUGGACCUGUCCCAUCCAUCUCCUCCCGGCCCUUCCUCCUCCAGCUCCUCCUGGACCUGUCCGGUCUAUUUCCCCCCCGGCCCCGCCCUGGCUCCGCCCCGUCCAGCUUCUCCUGGCCCCGCCUCCCAGCCAGCCUUAACUACUCUCUCUUCACCUCCCAGUCUCUGGGUCUCUGAGUUUUCUCUUUUUUCCUUCUGCCUCGCUUCCCUCCCCCUCCAAGCCACAAUUUCCUGCUUGUCCCCUUCCCCCCACUUCACCGCCACCCCCUUCAUGAGACUCUUUGGUCCCCAAGCUAGACAUCCCCCAUCUUUUACAGAAAUGGAGACUUAGGGAUGACCAUAAGGGGAAGGGGCCGGGCGAGUAUCUCGAGACUUGUAGGCUGGCAGUACUAUGAGCCCUAGAACCCCCGGAAACCCAGGACCUAGGUCUCCUAAAGUCGGCGGGCUGAGGGCACGGGUGGGGGAGGGGUAGCCAGAGGCUGAACCUGAGCCUGGGGCUCUCAGUCCCCUGGGCCUCAGUUGGGGGAGGGCCCCUCUGCCUCCUUUGCUUCCUCCCUCCCUCCGCUUCUCUCUCCUCUCCAGCCCUCCAGGAAACAGCCUAAGGGGUUUUUCAGGUCGAGCCUUCUACCCCUCCCCCAAUAUUUUACUUCUAUUUGGGGAAGCCGAGGAGCUCCAGCCUCCCACAGAGACAAGACCGGAAGAACCAAAUGUGGGGGCCAGAGGAGCCAGAUGUGGGGACUAAAGCCAGCCCCCUGAGGGGGCACAGCCUCAGUGACCCGUAACUUUGUCCUCCAACCCCAAGAUUACAUUAUGCCUUUUUUCCAAGUUGGUUCUACCCUGACGCAUCGAUUCGCUGCUCUCCCGUUCUUCCCCGCCUCCUCUGCACCUCUUGCUAGGAGUUAGCACCUGCUCUAGAACCCAACUCUGUCAUGAAUUUAGUCCACCUUGGGCCUCCUUUCCAUUGGCCCAACGGCGGGAAAUCAUUUCACCUUAUCCCUGUAGGUCCCUAGCACAAGGUGUUCUUAACCCAGGCUCCAGGCACUUUUCCCCCCACGACAAUUCGUUUCCUUUGUAAUUCUGUGUAUUUUAUUUUAUGCAUUUAAAGAUAUUGUUCUGAGAAGGUCACCGGCUUGGGGUGGAGGGAACCCAAAAAAAGUCACAAAAAUCAAGAACCCCAACAGGAAAGCAGAGGUCCUCAAACUUUUUUGUUUCAGGCCUUUUAUGCAAUAAAAAAUGUUAAUUUAGAUUAUUUAUAUUAAAA